AUAGAUAGAUAGAUAGAUAGAUAGAUAGAUAGAUAGAUAGAUAGAUAGAUAGAUAGAUAGAUAGAUAGAUAGAUAGAUAGAGACUGCACUGUUUCCACACUGCCUAUGAGGGCAGCAUCCCAGGCUCACCAAAGCAUAGAAGAGUCCAGCAACUGAAUUUCAUAUUUCAUAUACCUCAAGUUCUCAAUUUCAUCACAGUGGCCAUCAGUGGUAUAUCCACAGGCCACAUCUACUGAGAAAGCCGGUUGUGUACAUGAGAUUUUUCUGAGAAAUGCCUGCAGUCUGGACUGGUUCAGACAAUCCCCAAUGGGUUUUGUGCUGAUGAAACUCAGGACUCAUCCCUAAUCAUAACAACUGCAUUUGCUAUGCUAGCUUUGCAAAGGCCUGGAAAACUUGUCAGGAAGGAAGGAGAACUCCUGAAGCUGCAACAAAUCCCCAAGUUACAAUAUUACAGAAGUUACAUCAUCUAAAAUAUUAAUAGAUAUAUUAUGGCAUAGGUGUUCAGCAAUGGCUGAGAUUUCACUUCCUCGACUCUGGUCAACAAAAGUGAAUUCAAUAAUUAAUGAUUUAGUC
rnacentral:lncRNA from 1 species